GACGAACGCUGGCGGCGUGCUUAACACAUGCAAGUCGAACGGAAAGGCCCUGCUUUUGUGGGGUGCUCGAUUGGCGCACGGGUGAGUAACACGUGAGUAUCCUGCCCUUGACUUUGGGAUAACUUCAGGAAACUGGGGCUAAUACCGGAUAGGAGCUCCUGCUGCAUGGUGGGGGUUGGAAAGUUUCGGCGGUUGGGGAUGGACUCGCGGCUUAUCAGCUUGUUGGUGGAGUAGUUGCUUACCAAGGGUUUGACGGAUAGCCGGCACGAGAGGGCGACCGGGGACAUGGGGACUACGAGACGGACCAGACGCCUACGGGAGGCAGCAGGGGGGAAUAUUGCACAAUGGGCCGAAGCCUGAUGCAGCAACGCCGCGUGCGGGAUGACGGCCUUCGGGUUGUAAACAGAUUUCGACGGUGACGAAGCGUGAGUGACGGUAAUGGGUAAAGAAGCACCGGCUAACUACGUG
rnacentral:rRNA from 1 species